CCAUAUUCCACAUUGAAAGUUCAAGAUUCAAAAGCAUGGCAAUGGAAUACGUUGAUUUUCUUUCAACAGGGCCUCAAACUAUGUGAGUUUAUGUCUUAAUAUUAUUGUUAAGUAACUCCUGGCACAUAUGACCAUUAUUUAGAGUGCCCUUUCUCGUAUAUGCCCGGCUAUUGUAACAGUAUAUAAUUUACAAUUAUUUAUAUUCAAUUAUAAAUGUAAAAUGUUAUCUUAUGCAGUUUAAUGUAAUAUACCAGGGUUGCACAAUCUUAAAAUAUUAAAGGAUUUUCGUGAAAGGGCUAGGUACUAGAAUACGCUGCCACUGCGUUUAGCGGUGUGUAAAAUUAUGUUCCUGUGGUUGGGGGUUAGGUUUAAAAGCCUGGUUCACAUGAUGAAAUAAGCAUAAGCAAGCGGAACCUUUGAUGUGCAUAAACAUAAACAUAAGAAGAACUAAUGUUGCGUUCUUCUUAUAUGCUUACGUUUAUGCACAUGAAAGGUUCCGCUGCUUGUGCUUAUGCUUAUUUCAUCAUGUGAACCAGGCUUUAGUGUUAGGUUUAUGCGCCUAUCAAUGUUAAGCCCCAGACUGGGGGGGUCGGGCAUACAGUAUGUGGGCAUUUGAUUUUUUAUCAAAUUUCCAAUCAAAUGCCCCACUGCCAGGCAAUAAUUAUUGGCCAAAUACUCCACCAUUUUGCAAUAAAUUACAAUAAAUACUGUAUUAAUAGAAGUCAUUUGAUUCAAAGUGCUAAUCAAAUUCCCGAGGGUGGCUGCACCUAUGACAAAACCCGCCAUAUAAAGUUCUGGACUUCGCCCCAGCUUAACAACAUUGAUAGGUGCAUUAGUGUGAGGGUUACAGUAGGCCGGUUAGUGGCGAGUAUUCUAGAAUCGCUCCACUGGCUAGCAGAUCACCCCAAAUUACCCGUGCUUGCCGGAAGUUUUCACAAAUUUUGCAAAAUUUUCAGUUUAGUGAAUAUUUUUGAACUGUGCAGUUUUUUAUAAUUCUUGAGUGUAUAGUGCUUAAUGAAACCUACCUACUGUAGUACCCUUGAAGUAAUUUUUGUGGGUUUUUUUAGUUUGUGCUGCCAAUGCGGUACAGCAACUCAGCCAAACCCUUCAAACAUGUGUGUAGCAUGUUUGAGAACUCAAGUUGAUAUCACUGAAGGUAUCCCAAAGCAAGUUCAUCUGAAUUUCUGUAAGGCUUGUGAAAGGUGAGUAGUGUGGUGAACAUUUAGUUUGUGAAUUUUGUGCUGUUUGAAAUUAUAUAAUAUAUAUGAAAAAUUUACCAUAAAUCCUCAAUUCCCCUGCUCCUUUCAAAUAAC